GGUGGAAUACUACACAGUAGCGAAAAAUGAAUUAACUAGAGCUACACGUGUCAGCACAGGUAUUCAAAGUGGCUCUUUUCAAAAAGCCACGGUAGGUGUGUCGAUCAAUAAUCAAAAGGGAAGGAAUAAACAGCUCCAACCUUGAGAACACGCGGCAUUGGAGAAGGCCAGGAGAAACAGGGCCGGACUGAAGCAGGACCGUGGAACAUUCUGGUACCCUCUACCUGCCUGCAGUUCAGAUGACCCGACCCCUCCUACUCUUCUGGCUUGUCUCCCACGGCCCCUUUUUCUUCUCUCACAACCAAAAGUAGGAAAGUUAGGCAUGGGGCAGGGUGGCCAAAGACCAGCUUUGCCUUCUUAGGAUUUCAGUUGGAAACUUUCUGGGAUUAAGCUGGCUACCUCUUGCUCUAACCUCAGGGGCCCCGGCAGUGUGGCUGGACCCGGAAACCAGGAGCCGAGGCUCAUGCAUGCGCACUGAGGUGAGCCAGGCACUGAGCCCAUGCUUUCCCAGCCUGAAAAGGGAGACCCUGCCUGCGCUGAGUCAGCUCAGGGCUGCGGCAGAAGUGGUAACACAAGCCCAUCGGCCCUUGAGUUAUACCUUUAAGGGGCUGGAAGCCCAGAGGAGCCAAAGUGACAUAUAUGCCAGGGCAGGGGAACAUGGUUCCCAGCAGGGGGCCAGGCCGGAAGAAGGGAUGAAUUCCAGCAGGGCAGGGGGGCCAUGACCCUCUGCUGCUGAGAUAGAGCAGGGCCGGUUCACCUCACCUGGCAGGAGCCAAGGGAAGCGGGUGAUAAAGCCCAGGAUCCAACUGUCUUUGUGUUUACUAUUCAAGAGAUAAUCCCGAGCAUGUUUGGGAUUGAAAUAAAGCACCGAGGAGGGGGUUUGAAGAACAACCCAGCAUUUCCUGCAGAAUUCCUCAGCAAGCAGAGAUUAGACCAGUCACCCUCCCCGCUGCCGUUCCUCUCCUGAGUCCACAGUCUUGGGCUCUGCUCUCUUCAGGCGGGAAGCCCAGCCCCAGCAGCUCCAUAGCCAUUUUCUUCUGCCCGGCAUCUUUAUUUUGUGUAACUGCAGAAGGCUUGCGUUUACAGAGUUCUGCCACAACCAGCACCUUCUUUGGGUUCUGCACCCCCAAAACAUCCUUGGAGCAAGUACUAGUAUCCCUACUGUAGUCAGGGAAACCAUUCAUUUGUUCAUUCACUCACUCAACAAGCACACUUUCAAGGAUCUUUCAGGCUCCAGACCCUGUGCUGGAACUGAAUGCAGCUCAGAAGGGCUAAGUGACUUGCCCGAAGUCACCGUCACACGGGGAGCAGCAGUGCCACGAUUGGAACCCAGCUCUUUCGACUGAGACCUAAAAAGGAGAGAGGCCAGAGCUCUGCCUCGUGGGAAGCAACAGUUGCUGAGAACCUUCCAAGCACUGAGAGGGAAGACUGACUCCGUGCCAAGAACUUUGUUCCUGCUUUUAUUUAACCCGCAUAGCAACUUGAUGAGGGAGAUGUUAGGACCCCGGCUUUACAGACAAGGGAACCUAGGGUCAAGUUAUUCACCAGCUCCCCUAAUGGCACAAGACAAAGCAAUCAAUCAGGGCUUCCGUCCCAGGUCUGACUCCACAAGGCCUGGGUUUUUUCCACUGGCCCACACUGCCUGCAUUGCUCUCCCGCCGACCUCCGCAGCAAAUUCGCAGAUUCUGUCAUUGACUGGGGAAGGUUAGGAAACACUGAUCUGAGCAGGCUGUAGGGGCUCCGCACAGUUAGCGCUCUCCUCUCCGGCUCCCAUGAUGGCGCAAACAGUGUCGGUUUCCCCCUGCAGGCUUUUGUCAUUUGUCCUGUGGCCUCUCUGCUCCCAUCUCUACCCUAUCCCAGGCACCCCAGGACCUCGGCUUCCUAAAUCUCAGCCAGAACGGUAUUUUACAAGGACACUCGCCAACCUUGAAAGGCAAGGUACCCCGAGGCAAGGUAAUAAAAUUACUGUGGCUGAGCAGCAUGGGCGCAGCGCCACCUAGUGGUUCUUGGACCAACGGUCCCUGGCAGUGACAUUUUCAAACAAUCAAUAUCUCAUUAUUAACCAUAAUCACAACCUGAUGUUUACUUUUGGAGAAAUGUUCAGCGGCAAGGGAUACACAUGCACUUUUCUGCAUGUUUCAGAGGCCUGCGAUCUAAAUGCCACAAUGACUAUUAAACAGUGUCCUGCCCGUGAGCAAACAGGAGGGAGCAGAGAUUGAUUGUAUAUCUUUUUCAUCUAAGCUACUCACCAAAAACAAAGCAUCCGUUGAAGCCACUGACC